GACGAACGCUGGCGGCGCGCUUAACACAUGCAAGUCGAGCGAAGCGGCGGACGGGUGAGUAACACGUGAGUAACCUGCCUUAGACAUUGGGAUAGCCUCGGGAAACCGGGAUUAAUACCAAAUGGUCUAAGAUGGACUCGCGUCCCAUUAGAUAGUUGGUGAGGUAACGGCCCACCAAGGCGACGAUGGGUAGCCGGCCUGAGAGGGUGAACGGGCACAUUGGAACUGAGAACCGGUGCAGACUCUACGGGAGGCAGCAGUGGGGAAUAUUGCACAAUGGAGGUGACGCUGAUGCAGCGAGGGCGCGUGAACGAAAAAGGCUUUCGAGUCGUAAAGUUCUUUUAUAUGGGAAGCGGUACCAUAAGAAAAAGCCCCGGCUAACUACGUGCCAGCCGCCGCGGUAAUAC
rnacentral:rRNA from 1 species